UGUAGGGAAAAUGGGAAAAUGAACUCUUGUAAUGGCAGCAGCUUAAAUCAGAAUCACAGAAACACAGGUAAACUCCAGCAUUCAGGAUUGCAUACCUGUACACCAUCCAGAAGUUGCCCUUUCCAUUGAUGUUUACCAUAAUGUGCAAAACUGGAUCAAGACCCAAGGAUUCUUGGUCGUUGGACGAAAAACCUUGACUGAGUUGAGGGAUAAGAUAUACUGUUUAACAGAUAAGGUGAUGGAAAAAGAUGGCCAGCAUAAUCAUUCAAGAUGUUUCCUCAUAGAAGUAAGAAGUUGAAUCC
rnacentral:lncRNA from 1 species